UACGGAGGGAGCUAGCGUUGUUCGGAAAUACUGGGCGUAAAGCGUGCGCAGGCGGUUUUGUAAGCCAGAUGUGAAAGCCCCGGGCUCAACCUGGGAAUGGCAUUUGGGACUGCAAGGCUGGAGUUUGGCAGAGGAGACUGGAAUUCCUGGUGUAGCAGUGAAAUGCGUAGAUAUCAGGAGGAAUACCGAUGGCGAAGGCAGGUCUCUGGGCUAUAACUGACGCUCAUGCACGAAAGCGUGGGGAGCGAACAGG
rnacentral:rRNA from 1 species